CGGGGUGUGGCUCAGUUGGUAGAGUGCACGGUUUGGGACCGUGAGGUCGGCGGUUCGAGUCCGCCCACCCCGA
rnacentral:tRNA from 2 species